AUGACCCCGCCCCGACGCCGCUCACCACGUCCCACAGCAGCAGGAAGCCUCCCAGGCCGCGUCCGCAUCCGCCGCGCCCUCGCCCUCGCCCUCGCCCCCGCCCACCUACACCUCCCACGCCAACGCCGCCCCCGUACACUCCGUCCCCUCCUGAGCCUGAACCUACGCCGCCCCCGUACACUCCGUUCCCUCCUGAGCCUGAACCCACGCCGCCACCGUCCCCUCCUGAGCCUGAGCCCACGCCAACGCCGCCGCCGUACACUCCGUCCCCUCCUGAGCCCACGCCGCCCCCAUACGCCCCGGUCCCGAUGCCAUCUCCCUUCCUCGACCACGGCGCGGAAGCCGACUCCGCUGGCGUACAGGCUGCCGCUGACGCCGCCGACUACGAGGAGCCGCCAUCGACGCCAGCCUACAAGCCCAAUGUCUAGGGCUGUGACUGUGAGUCCCUGCCAAGUGCCAACGCAUGCAGGGCCAUUCUCAUCGGAGAUCAAAUACUAA
rnacentral:rRNA from 1 species